GAUGAACGCUGGCGGCGUGCUUAAUACAUGCAAGUCGAGCGAACAGACGAGGCGCUUGCUCCUCGGUCGUUAGCCGCGGACGGGUGAAUCACACGUGUAUAACCUACCUAUAAGACUGGGAUAACUUCGGGAAACCGGAUCUAAUCCCGGAUAAUAUAUUGAUCCGCAUGGUUCAAUAGUGAAAGACGGUUGUGCUGUCUCUUAUCGAUGGAUCCGCGCCGCAUUAGCUAGUUGGGAAGGUAACGGCUUACCAAGGCAACGAUGCGUAGCCGACCGGAGAGGGUGAUCGGCCACACUGGAACGGAGCCACGGUCCAGACUCCUACGGGAGGCAGCAGUAGGGAAUCGUCCGCAAUGGGCGAAAGCCUGACGGAGCAACGCCGCGUGAGAGAUGAAGGUCUUCGGAUCGUAAAACUCUGUUAUUAGGGAAGAACAAAUGUGUAAGUAACUAUGCACGUCUUGACGGUACCUAAUCAGAAAGCCACGGCUAACUACGUG
rnacentral:rRNA from 1 species